rnacentral:lncRNA from 1 species
UGUGAAAUGAUGCCUUGUACAGGCAAUGCUAUCUGCAACUAGAUAUGGGAGUCAUUAAAUCUCCUUUUGGAGAUUUGGAGACAUGGGAGUCAGAAGCUCACAUCCUGCAGUGACUGGCCACAGAGGGGAGACCUGGACCACACAUUCACAGAGGGUGACAUAUAACACGGCCAGAUCUUCCCCGGCAGGCAGAAGUUGCAGCUUCUCCAAAAGCAUGCAGACGAGCCCAGCGAGGACGGAGCAGCCCGGCAAAUCGCUGCCUGCAGCAGGGACCGGUCAGGCGGUCUCAGGAACGGAGAACAUGGCUGGCUCAGGACACGGAGCUGCCGGGUUGGAGUUAUGCAGCUGAAGCAUGAAAUGAGCCAAUGCUGAACGCGUGAUGAGAGGAGAAGGGUUUUUUCCUGAGAGUAGACUAUCGGCGGGGUUCAGCCGGGAGUGGAAGGAAUAAAGGAAAGGCUACACAUAAUUCA